rfam:Picea glauca, whole genome shotgun sequence.
UCUUAUGUACAUUCCUACAACAUUAAUGCACCAAAUCCCAUUAGAACCUUGCAGUUAACCACACUUGGGCUACAUUAGUACUAUAAUGGGUGACCUCCCGAGAAGUACUAGUGUUUAACAUGC